AUGAAGAAGGACGUGAACUCGAUGAACAUGGCCCCCGUCUCGAUCAGGCCAGCAUGCCUCAGGAUCGCCGGGAUUGCGAGGCUUCCCAUGGCAGACAUGCCGGUCAGGAACUUGGCUGCUUUCAUCCACCUGAAAAACGAUAUGCCCUGUCUGAUUACAAUCUUUAUGGUAGCGAAUGUGUGGAUCAGCAUCCUAAGUUGUGAUUGCCUAUUGCCUAUCAUGUGCUCUGUGCCGAUAUACAUGUUCACAUUACUACUUCUCCAAAGGAAAGAGAAUCAUCAAGUUAGAACUUACGCUCCACCCUCUCCGCUACUCAAGAACCGUGUGGAUCCGUCGCCAAAGAACAGGCAUGGCAUUGGCACAAUGAUAUACAUGAGUGCUGCAGAACAGAAAAAGCACGCACAAGAACGUCAGUGGAAAAGUCACAGGGACUUGCUCACGGUGAUUGAGGAUAAGAAACUAGCAGUCACCUGCUAA
rnacentral:rRNA from 1 species